rnacentral:rRNA from 1 species
UACGUAGGGACCAAGCGUUGUUCGGAUUUACUGGGCGUAAAGGGCGCGUAGGCGGCAAUUCAAGUCAUCUGUGAAAUCUCCGGGCUUAACCCGGAACGGUCAGGUGAUACUGUUUUGCUAGAGUGCGGAAGGGGCAAUCGGAAUUCUCGGUGUAGCGGUGAAAUGCGUAGAUAUCAGGAGGAACACCUGUGGUGUAGACAGCUUUCUGGACCAUUGCUGACGCUGAGACACGAAAGCGUGGGUAGCAAACAGG